AGAAGAGUCUCCGAGUAAACCCUAGUUUGGUCUGUUAUGUGAAACUGCUUUGAGGAAGAAAUUUGCUGGUUGUUCCAUGGUUAAGAAAGAAUGCUUUGGUGAUGAACUCGAAGCACUUGGAAGAGGAGAGGAGCAGCCAAUGGUUGGUCGGACUUCACCUUCUAAACCCGCGCUUCUUUGCUGCUGCUGCGACUCCCUCUCGUUGCACUCCGAUCUUGCACUAGAUGGCGGUGCCCCGUCUUCUUCUCCACCUCGUCUACCCGACCUCGUCGUCCCUCCUCCUCGCCAACUGCAAGCCGUCGCCCCUACCUGUCCUCAACAUCGGCUGUAGAAGGAUCAGCACCGCCGCUGCGCAGCGCGCCCCCCCGUCGGAGGCCGCCGUCGAUGACUUCUGGCGGUGGGUUUGUGAGCGGGGAGUGGUCGCUGCCUCGUCCGCCGCGACCGUGAAGCCGGGCUUCGUGCCGGAGGGCCUGGGCCUCGUGGCCCAGAGGGACCUCCCCCGCAACGAGGUGGUGGUGGAGGUCCCCAAGAGGCUCUGGAUCGACUCCGACACGGCAGUCGCCUCCGAGAUCGGGAGGCUGUGCGCCGGCCUCAAGCCCUGGGUCUCCAUCGCCCUCUUUCUCCUACGGGAGAGGGCCCUGGGCACGGCCUCUCCCUGGCACCCCUAUCUCGACAUUCUUCCGCCCACUACCAAUUCCACUAUCUUCUGGUCAGAAGAGGAGCUUUCUGAAAUAGAAGGAACUCAGUUAUUGAACACGACAAUGGGUGCUAAAGAGUAUGUGGAAAGUGAAUUUGUCAAAGCAGAAGCGGAAGUGAUACUUCCAAACAAACAUCUCUUUCCUUCAGCUAUAACAUUGCUUGAUUUUCUGUGGGCUUUCGGAAUUCUCAGAUCAAGGGCCUUUUCACGUGGUCGUGGUGAAAAUCUUGCUCUUGUUCCAUUGGCUGAUCUUAUUAACCACAGUUCCAGUAUCACACAAGAGGAUUCUUGUUGGGAGAUUAAAGGAAAGGGCAUCUUUUCUAGGGAACUGAUAUUCUCUUUACGAACACCAGUCUAUGUGAAAUCUGGUGAGCAGGUGCAUAUCCACUACAACAUCGCGAAGAGUAAUGCUGACUUGGCGCUUGAUUAUGGCUUUGUUGAACAGAGGCCAGAUCGGGAUGCAUAUACUUUUACACUAGAGAUUAGUGAAUCUGAUCCAUUUUAUGGAGACAAACUAGACAUUGCAGAGUCAAAUGGUUUAGAUGAAACUGCAUACUUUGAUAUAGCUCUAGGUUGCCCACUACCCCCAUUGAUGCUUCCAUAUUUGCGGUUGGUAGCUCUUGGAGGAACAGAUGCUUUUCUCUUAGAAUCUGUUUUCAGAAAUACAAUUUGGGGUCAUCUGGAAUUGCCGGUGAGUCGUGCCAAUGAGGAAGCCAUUUGCCGUGUCGUCAGACAGGCCUGCAAAUCUGCUCUCUCUGCUUACCACACUACCGUAGAAGAGGAUGAAAAACUUAUGGAAGGGGAUAAUUUGGAUGAAAGACUUCGAAUCGCAGUUUGUAUAAGAGCCGGCGAGAAGAAAGUUCUCCAGCAGAUCGACGAUGCUUUCCGAGAGAGAGAGUCCGAGUUGGAUGUUUUGGAGUAUUAUCAGGAGAGGAGGCUCAAGGAUCUGGGACUGGUUGGGGAGCAGGGUGAAAUCAUCUUCUGGGAAUCAAAGUAGAACACCUGCACACACCUUCUCUCCCAAGAUCUGAUAUCACAUGUUGUACAUGGCGACAUGCAGAAACUGCAGACAGAUGAGCUCGUCUAGACUCUGUAUCGUCCAGAAGCAGUGGUCGCAAGCAUGCUGCCGGCCCCCCAACCGCGAGGUGGAGACCCCUCUGUUGAUCCCUGCUUUCUUCAUACCUGCCUCCAUGAACGUCCAUGACAAGGUAUACUUUUGCUGAACAAGAGAAAGAAAGAUUGUAAUGGGAGAUGAAUUUGCUUGUUCUGUGACAAUUGCAAGGACCAAAGAGACCUUUGUAAGGAUGUGCAAGUCUCGGAAGCUGCGUCAUAGCAUCAGAAACGCUCGUCGUCUGCCAGCUGAAAGCUUUAUCUAAUUGUAUUCAGGUAUUUGCA